rnacentral:rRNA from 1 species
AACGAACGCUGGCGGCAGGCUUAACACAUGCAAGUCGAGCGCCCCGCAAGGGGAGCGGCAGACGGGUGAGUAACGCGUGGGAAUCUACCCAUCUCUACGGAAUAACGCAUGGAAACGUGUGCUAAUACCGUAUACGUCCUUCGGGAGAAAGAUUUAUCGGAGAUGGAUGAGCCCGCGUUGGAUUUGCUAGUUGGUGGGGUAAAGGCCUACCAAGGCGACGAUCCAUAGCUGGUCUGAGAGGAAGAUCAGCCACACUGGGACUGAGACACGGCCCAGACUCCUACGGGGGGCAGGAGUGGGGAAUAUUGGACAAUGGGCGCAAGCCUGAUCCAGCCAUGCCGCGUGAGUGAUGAAGGCCCUAGGGUUGUAAAGCUCUUUCACCGGUGAAGAUAAUGACGGUAACCGGAGAAGAAGCCCCGGCUAACUUCGUGCCAGCCGCCGCCGUAACAC